AAGAAAUAAUAUACUGUAUUUUAUUUCAAAGCUAUAAAGUUUGUCAAAGGUCUUUAAAAGAUGCUAAAACCAAAUAUUUCUCCCUGAUUACAGAGUUCCUGUCAACAUUUACCUACUCAUGCAAGCUGUGCAAAUCAAUGUAUUGCAUCAUGGGUCAAAGAGUCUCAUGUGAAAUCAUUUAGAAAAAUCCAACUACAAAUAAACCUGCUCCUUGUUAAGCUUGCAUCACACUGACUCCCACGCAGAUACCACUGACCUCAACCUUGGUGACCUUAAUCAGUAUUUAAGAAAAAAUAAACAUGAAUUUAAUUCAGACCUGACCGGAGAGAGAGUAAUUCUGUCAUUUUCUGUAAUAACAACACCUAUGCAUUUUGCCAGAACAGAGAGAGAGCGACCAUAUUUGGUGCCAAAUCUGCCAGAUUGUCUGGUUUUUAUUCUGGAUGUUCCUACAACUAUCUGUGGGGAACCAUGGCUGUUUCUGAUGAGGCCUGUCAGUGAUAACUAGGGUUGUUACACAGCAUUAUUAUUUCCAGUGUUUAAAUGUAGCUCCAGCGUAAGUUCAGUCAGGGAGACUAUGUUUGCUUACACAGCUGCUUCUUUCCCACUCUCAUGCUCACUCACUUUCCUGCUGUCAUUAAUCAGAGGAGUCAUUUGUUAAUCAGCCAUUCAUCAGUAACAUGGUAACUCACCCUCUCUGUCAGUCUAUCACCAUUCUGAUCUAUUUUUUUAAAAAUGAAAUUUUCUCGGUCUCUGAUUCUUUCAUGUUGUUGGUACAUGCACACCCUCCACCUCCCCAUCUUCAAUCGGUCUCCGCAGAAUUAUCAGUUCAAUACUUCAUUCUCCUGGUCCCACCAAUCAUCAGCCACUACCACCACCACCAGCUUCAGGACUCCAUGGGGGAAUUUUCCUGCCGCUGCAAUGAUCAGUCAUCCUAGGAUGACCCCUAAACACCCAGAAGCCCAAAAAUGUGCCUGAUUUAAUUAACAUUGGUUUUCUCUGUUUUUCUUUUUCUGAAACAUUUCAGUCCUUAGAGUACUAAGAUGAAAAAAUACAUAUAUAAAAUGUCACUCUGUUGUGUUACUGUUUAACGCAAAAAAGUAAUCUGUAUGAUAUUUAAAUGCUGGCCGAAGCAUUUAAGUCUGAGUCCAACCACUCUCAUCAAAGACAGUUAUCAUUUUCAUGCAGUAAGUUAUAUUUUGCAGUAUGGCUCUGCUCUGAGAGCUCUCUUUACUUCCAUGUGCUUACAUUGGAUGCUAAACUAAAGCAGGAAGAGCACAUCUCUGCUCUCUUUCAUAUGCAUAAAUUAAAGGCCAAAGCAAGGGGAGCAGCAGCAAAGACCCCCCAAGGUAUAAAACUGAGUGACAACUUGUGUGACACUGAUAAAAUCAGCUGCAGCAUAUUAAGGACUAGCUGCAUGGAGGUGGUUUACAAAGUAGUUUUCAGCAGAAGGCAGGCUAAAACAGAUUUUUUUAAAAAAACAUACUUGUUUGGACAUUUCCAAUUGGAUCCAUAAAAGUCAGGUGAUCAAAAGUCGAUCAUUGACUUUGUGGCGUGCCUAAACUUUUGCUAUGCUCAAUUCAGGGUUGGCAGAGAUGGAAUAUUUUGUUGUGUGUCCGUAAAUCAGUCAGCGCUCCAGUUUGGUCCCCCAAUAACAAAAGUCUGGACAUGCCCCUAUGCAUGAGCAAUGCAGCAGUAUAUGCAUAAAUCUUGAGAUCAUAAGUUCAUGUGUUCACGUUUUGGCUGCAGCACUGAGCUAAUGUACCUGUGCCAACAUACUGUACACAGCAGAUUCCCAAACUCUGAUCAACCUUGUUGAGAACUUUGUGAGACGUGCUGCACUUUGAACCACUGUUAUCUGUCAGGCUAAGUUUACUGGCACCAAGUUUGUGAUAAUGCAAGUUUAUCAUUCAAUAUGUCAUGCCCUGUUGUCGGAUUAAACUCACUCUUUAAUAUGCAUUUGAGAUAUUUGCAGCCAAACCUCCCAGGUUUCCUAACAUCCAGAUUUUUAGCAGUUAUUUGGUUUAAUUUGGUGGAAAAGGUUUGAAGAUUUGUGGCCUAAAAGUCAAAUUUGUUGGUAUUUUAACAACAUAAAGGAGGAUCUUCAGGAUCACUUCUGUAAAUGUGUCGUCUGAUUAGACAUCCUCCCUCUCUCCACCUCUACUUAAAUUUUAAUCGACCCUUUUGAGGUGAACCAUGCUUUCCGUGUUUUUAGCAUUAGCCUCCUCAUUGCUCAGUGGCCACGCGUGUUUGGCAUGCUCUCCAUCUCUCUGGUAAAUGAUUCAAAACUACAUGAUCAAAGUCAUUUCGAAGAUCUGGUCGGUGGUUCGGGUUCGCAUGGUAGACAGCACACUCUUGUGCUCCUGGCACGCUCCCUGUUCUCGUAACAUCCACGCACUCACCGCCAGCAGAAACCAAAUUUGUGGAUUAACUUCGGAUUUACAUCUCAGAUUGUGGCACCUUUGGAGGGGAAGUGUGAGCGAUACCACCUCGCAUUUGAAGAAAUCAUUAACAAUUAAGAGCGGGAGAAAGGGAUGACUCCAAAUGGUUGCAGAGCAGCACGGAAGCAGCAUCGCCAGCUGAAAUAGUAAUGUGUUUUCCUGUGUAGCUGUCAGCUCUCUUAUCUCGGAUCCUUUGAGUGGCGAGGACUUGACGUGGGAUUCCAACAAUGCGGAUAAUGUUCUAUUGCUGCACUCAGGAGCCGUUAAUGGGAAAAUUCAUCCUAACACAGAUCCCACAUAUGUUAUUCCUGUGUUAUUCCACAUUUGCAUCCACAUUGUUUUGAGACUUUACCAUUGAAUCCUUGGAAGAAAAGGCCUCUCUGUCUGAUGACAAGAUGUACUUUCUGUGCAUUAAGGAGUUCUGCUGUGUGAUCUGAAGAUAGGCUCUAAUGUAUUCUCUCUGCUUUUCGGGUACACUCAGGCCCAAACGACAGAUAAUUCAUAUUUUAAAAUAUUCUGUAGCAGCUUCAAUCUUCAGGUUAAAAGGUUAGAGGGUCAUAAAUCAGACAUACACUUUAUAUUUAGUCUUUUUUCUCAGAGGCAGCACUCUGCACUCCCCUCGCUCUCCCAAUCUGCUCAUGUUUUAAACAUGUCACCCUUCACACUGCGUCUUCAUCUCGCGUGUUCCCCAGGCAUACAUUGAGAAAUCCAGAUCUAUGUUUUGUUUCUGUCAAAUGUUUUUCUCCAGGGCAGAGUUUGGGCAGCCUGAUGAUUUAGGAUGUGAGGAGGAGAGACGUCGGGUCCUUGAGCACACUUAAUAGUGUCUCCACAGGCCUGUGGUGAUGUUGUAAAGGAGAUGUGUUAAGUCUUAAACCUGUGAGGAACUCCAUGGUUACAAAAGCUGCUGCAGAUUGGAAAUAUGAUUUGUUGUCUUCCUGCAGACACUUUAACAGACUUCGCCACCAUUUGGUAAAGCUUUCUCAAAUCUGGUUAGAGCUUACUGAACACAAUUAUGCUACAUAAAGCCCUGAAGAGUUACACAUUUGCAUUGUCUUUAAUCGUGAAAGAGGAAAAUUCACAAAAUCAUAGACAUCAGCCACAGAGAGCGCCAUGAAUCAUGCAUCACUUGCAAACACGAUCUCAUUAUUGUGCUUAUGAUAUUAUGGCGCAAACACGUUCUUUGCCCUUAUUAUGCGUCUGAUUUUGGAGAAUAUCCGUCAACACUUCCACACUCUGCUGCUGCCCAGGAUCAUUUCAACUCUCAUAUAGAUGAACUGCUGAGAGGGAAGGGGCGGACUUUUUCUGGCUAAAAUAUUAAGCCAAGUCUUGACAGAUUUGAAACUCUUUUUUCUUUUUUUCUUUUUCUCCAUAGCAAAAUUUGGGGUCAUACAAAGGUGACACUAAUGCUCUACUCAAAGGGAUAUUUUAGUACUUUAGUACGUAAGGGGCUUUCUGAUGGCAAAGUACUGAAAAGAUUCUCAGUAGAGCAUACAUGUAAACUAGGAUGAGUGUUUGAGUCAGAGCCUGUCAAAAUCAGCUAAGUUACAUGAUAGACUAGGCCUAGUCUGCAGAAAACUCAUAUAAACCUGAUGGACCCCUCAGGUCUUCAGGUAGUGGUCUUUUGAUUGUUCCCAAAGUAAAAACAAAUCAAAGUGAAUCCUCGUUCCAAUAUUAAGGGCCCGAUCUGUGAAACAGUCUACCUGCAGACCUGAGAGCAGCAACUAUUGUUCAUAUUUUCAAGUGUAAACUCAAGACCUACCUUUUUAGUCUGGCUUUUAGCGGAUUUUUGUUUUAACCUCUUAAUCUGCAUUAUGUGAUUUACUCCCUGAUUUAACUGUCUGAAGAUGUUGAUGAUUUUACCUCCCACUAUGCAGGCCUUCAAACUUUUGUGGCUGCUUUUGAGAAAUUCACAGUAUCUUCUUUUUGAGGACGAGUGUCCACAAAAGCAACACAGUCUCAUCAUCCUUCUAUUCAACCUGUGGUGUUGGAAGUCCUGCCAUUAACUCAUUUAGCUUGGCCUUGAGACAGCUGAGGUCCAUUAUCAACAUGCCAUGGAUCAAAUUAUAUAAGAACAAAACUAUUUAGUGUUAGAAAAGGGUCAGCGGUUGUCCUAGAAGGCCACACAGAAGUAGAAUAAAAGGCCUCAGGUCAGAUAAAGCAUGGCUUAUGAGAUAUGGUUUUGAUGUGUCGAUAAAUACAUUACAGCAAAAACCACUAUCAUUACAGGAACUGAUUGGAUGUACGCUCUAGUUUUAUUUGGCAGGGUAGCACCUUACUGAGAUCCCA